AAUCGCGCUUUUGCCACCAUACGUCCUCGUAUAAAUAUUACCUUUUCUCUCUUUCGACCUUUCCCACUGUCGGCCAAAGCUCGAGCCCUCGAAGCUCCAAGAGUCAUACCCUUCUCCUUGUCCCUUCGUCUCCGACGCCGAGUUGCAGGAAAUAUGAGCAGGCGAGCCAGCCGAACCCUCUAUGUAGGAAAUUUGCCGGAAGAUAUUCGAGAGAGAGAGGUUGAAGAUCUGUUUUACAAGUAUGGACCCAUUGUUGACAUUGAUCUGAAGAUUCCUCCAAGGCCUCCAGGUUAUGCAUUUGUUGAGUUUGAAGAUGCUCGUGAUGCUGAAGAUGCUAUUCAUGGUCGUGAUGGUUAUAAAUUUGAUGGUCAUAGAUUACGGGUGGAAUUUGCACGUGGUGGAAGAGGCUAUUCGUCUUCCAUGGAUCGUUACAGCAGUUAUAGCAGCAGUGGCAGUCGUGGUGGUGUCUUGAGGCGGUCUGAAUAUCGCGUGCUGGUUACUGGUUUACCUUCUUCUGCCUCAUGGCAAGACCUGAAGGACCACAUGCGGCGUGCUGGUGAUGUUUGUUUCUCCGAAGUGUUUCGUGAUCGUCAAGGCACUACAGGCAUUGUGGAUUAUACAAACUAUGAUGAUGUGAAAUAUGCGAUUAGGAAACUUGAUGACUCUGAGUUUCGGAAUGCAUUUUCUCGUGCAUAUAUAAGGGUAAGGGAAUAUGAUGCAACACGAAGCCUAUCUAGCAGCCGUAGCCAUUCCAAUUCCAGAAGCAGAAGCCCCAGCUACAGUCGCAGUUACAGCCGAAGCAGGAGCCGCAGCCAAAGCAAGUCUCCGAGAGGCAGGUCAGCAUCUCGCUCAUGUUCUAGAUCUCGAUCAAGAUCGGCUUCAUCUCACUCUCAUUCAGGAUCAAUGGGACGCUCUCUGUCAGGAUAUGAGCUUGUGCGGCGAUCUGGGGAUUGCAUACUAGAGACUUGAUGAGAUACUGUCCAAAUGCCUGCAAUCUAUUUGUUGGUGAGGCAUUCUGUUCUGCAAAACGAGGUCUUGGAAACCUGGCUUGAUUUUUAUACCAUAUGUGGCAUGCGGCUUGUAGCUAAAACCCAUCAGAGUAGAGUGGGACUGAAUGGAUGAGUUGUGUUUUAGAGCCAGAAUAUUCGAAACUAAGUGGCAUGGGACCCACCAAACAGUGGUAGAAAGAUUUUCAUCAUUUCUUCUCCAAGGUCACCACACUAUUAGGAGUUGCACUCGGGGAUCUGGAUAUGGAUUUUGGUGGGUGCAGAUAGAGAAGUACUUCAUUCCUUGAAUGCCACAUGUAGAUUCUUUUGUUUUCUCCAUAGGUUUUUGCUUUGUCUGUUAGCUAGCAGUUCUUUAUGGUGUUCCUUGAUCGUGGCUUGCCAUUUUCUGCGUCCUAUCCAUUGUAGUUUCUUCUCCAUUUUGGAUCACAAUGAUUUAAAGAAUAAUAAAUGGAUUUAUUUUUUCUUUAUGCUGCUAAAGUUAUUUGAGUUUUUCUUCUUUCAAUAUGGUACUCUGAUGUGGAAGAGGCGUUGAGGCUUUUGGAUCCAGUUGAAAAAGCAACAUAGUGGAUGUUGUGGAUAUUGAAUUCAGUUCUUUCUGGAACUUUUGCAGAUCACGAUCAAGAUCCAGAUCACCAAUUGCUUCUCCCCCUUGGAACAAUCAAGCAAGCAAAAUCCCAAGGAAGCAGAGUCCUACCAGGAGCAAAAGCAGGAGCCUAUCACAUUCUCUAUCUCCGAAGUCCAACCGCAGCCGAUCUGUUGAUUCAAGAGACCGUUGAUUCAAGAGAUGGUUGAGAAGGAAGUGUUGCUGCCCGAGCUUGGGUGGGUGCAAAAUUUUACAGAAGACUUGAAAUGCUCAGACAUUUGGUUAUGAUGUGAGAAAUGGUCUUAAAUGUGAGUGUUGAUCUCAGGACAUAUGUUGUUUAUUUGAUACAUGUGCAACUUUGCUGUGUACUACAUAAUUUAAUCGGGUAUUGAUCUUGUAGUUGGUGUGAUACUUGUUAUGAAUGCCUACAGCUUCCAAGCGUUGGACGUUAAAA